GAUGAACGCUGGCGGCGUGCCUAAUACAUGCAAGUCGAGCGAAUCGGGGACGGGUUAGUAACACGUGGAUAACCUCCUAUCAUACUUGGAUAACUUCGGGAAACCGGAUCUAAACCUGAUACUUAUUAAUGUUUCCUCGCUGCAUUAGCUAUUUGGUAAGGUAACGGCUUACCAAGGCAACGAUGCAUACCCGACCUGAGAGGGUGAUCGGCAACACUGGAACUUAGAAAAGGUCCGGACGCGUAAGGGAGGGGGGCGUAGGGAAGCGUCCGCAAUGGGCGGAAGCCUGACGGAGCAACGACGCGUGAGUGAUGAAGGUCUUCGGAUCGUAAAACUCUGUUAUUAGGGAAGCGGUACCUAAUCAGAAAGCCACGGCUAACUACGUGCCAGCAGCCGCGGUAAUAC
rnacentral:rRNA from 1 species